rnacentral:rRNA from 1 species
UACGUAGGGUGCAAGCGUUAAUCGGAAUUACUGGGCGUAAAGCGUGCGCAGGCGGUUUGCUAAGACAGAUGUGAAAUCCCCGGGCUUAACCUUGGAACUGCAUUUGUGACUGGCGGGCUAGAGUAUGGCAGAGGGGGGUAGAAUUCCACGUGUAGCAGUGAAAUGCGUAGAGAUGUGGAGGAAUACCGAUGGCGAAGGCAGCCCCCUGGGCCAAUACUGACGCUCAUGCACGAAAGCGUGGGGAGCAAACAGG